rnacentral:rRNA from 1 species
GACAGAGGUGGCGAGCGUUGUUCGGAUUCAUUGGGUGUAAAGGGUGCGUAGGCGGUUUGGUAAGUCAGGUGUGAAAUCCUACAGCUUAACUGUGGAACUGCAUUUGAAACUACCAGGCUAGAGUGCGAGAGAGGUAAAGGGAAUUCCCGGUGUAAGGGUGAAAUCUGCAGAGAUCGGGAAGAACACCAGCUGCGAAGGCGCUUUACUGGCUCGCAACUGACGCUGAGUGCACGAAGGCGUGGGGAGCAAACGGG